ensembl:misc_RNA 7SK 7SK RNA
GGAUGUGAGGGCCAUCUGGCUGUGAUACCCGUCAUCACAUUGAUCACCAGGGUUGAUUCUGCUGAUCCGACGGGCUCACCCUUGUCCCCUUCUUCCCUCACCUCUCCCCACAGGUCCUUCCUGAAGCUGUGUGCUCGGUGGACCUGUCUUCAGUUAAGGGUACAGGAGUAGGUGCACUCUGAACCCCCCAACAAGCUCUCCAGGUCCACUUGUAGGAGAAGGCAGGGUAGUCAAGCUUCCAAGAGUCCACACUCAUUCAAAUGAUAGGCUGUAUGUGGCAAUCUGCCUUUU